rnacentral:rRNA from 1 species
GACGAACGCUGGCGGCGUGGAUUAGGCAUGCAAGUCGAACGGUAUCAUCCUUUCGGGGGUGAGAGAGUGGCGAACUGGUGAGUAACACGUAGGUUAUCUACCCUCAAGACGGGGACAACCCAGGGAAACUUGGGCUAAUACCGGAUGUGAGCAACUUUUAGUUGUUUGAAAGGUGGCGUAAGCUGUCGCUUGGGGAUGAGCCUGCGUCCUAUUAGUUAGUUGGUGAGGUAACGGCUCACCUAGGCAAUGAUAGGUAGGCGGCCUUAACGGGUGGUCGCCCACACUGGGAUUGAGAUACGGCCCAGACUCCUACGGGAGGCAGCAGUCGAGAAUAGUCUACAAUGGCCGAAAGGCUGAUAGUGCGACGCCGCGUGAACGAAGAAGCCCUUCGGGGUGUAAAGUUCUUUUAUAUGUGAGCAGUGCUUUCUAUGUGAACAGCAUGGGGAGAGAGAUAUUAGCAUAUGAAUAAGCAACGGCUAAACUCCGUGCCAGCAGCCGCGGUAAA